AUUGAACGCUGGCGGCAUGCUUUACACAUGCAAGUCGAACGGUAACAGGCCUUCGGGUGCUGACGAGUGGCGAACGGGUGAGUAAUGCAUCGGAACGUACCCAGAGGUGGGGGAUAACGCAGCGAAAGCUGUGCUAAUACCGCAUGUGGUCUGAGGAUGAAAGCGGGGGACCGCGCAGCAAUGUUUGGCCUCGCGCCUUUGGAGCGGCCGAUGUCGGAUUAGCUAGUUGGUGGGGUAAAGGCCUACCAAGGCGACGAUCCGUAGCUGGUCUGAGAGGACGACCAGCCACACUGGGACUGAGACACGGCCCAGACUCCUACGGGAGGCAGCAGUGGGGAAUUUUGGACAAUGGGCGCAAGCCUGAUCCAGCAAUGCCGCGUGCGGGAAGAAGGCCUUCGGGUUGUAAACCGCUUUUGGCAGGAACGAAACGGUGUCCGCUAAUACCGGGCGCUAAUGACGGUACCUGCAGAAUAAGCACCGGCUAACUACGUG
rnacentral:rRNA from 1 species